rnacentral:rRNA from 1 species
UACGGGGGGAGCAAGCGUUGUUCGGAUUUACUGGGCGUAAAGGGCGCGUAGGCGGCCACCGCAAGUCGGUUGUGAAAUCUCUGGGCUUAACCCAGAAAGGUCAACCGAUACUGCGGGGCUAGAGUGCAGAAGGGGCAACUGGAAUUCUCGGUGUAGCGGUGAAAUGCGCAGAUAUCGGGAGGAACACCAAUGGCGAAGGCAGCUCGCUGGGACGUGACUGACGCUGAGACGCGAAAGCGUGGGGAGCAAACAGG